AAUGGUUGUGAAAUCUGAUGGGUGAAGGGAACAAGAGGUAUGCAGCAAUUGAGUGUGAUAAUUGAGUGUAUUAAGGCAUGAAAUCAGAAAUAUUUUAGGGGACAAGGAUGAUUAAGCAUGCAUGGGAAUCCAAAGGGAAUGCUAUGUGGAUUGCACGGCAAGGAUGUGUGUCCUUUUGUGGCUAAGUUCAUGAUCCUUUGUGCACUAAUUCUUCACAUUCUUAGCCUCUUUAAGUCUUCAAUUUCGUCCAAACCUUGGUUCCAAAUAUGUGACAUGCAUUCCAAGCUCCAUUUUGCUCCAAAAUGCUCCAAAAUGCAUCUUCUUGCCUACUUUGUCCUUAAAAUCUGCAAACAUGAAAAUGACUUUAAACAUUAAAAUAACUAAGGAAACACGACAUAAAUGCACAAGAACAAGCCAACUAAGUCACAUAAAUAUGCUCCUAUCAAAUUCCCCCACACUUAGCUUUUGCUAGUCCUCGAGCAAACAAAGAAAUAAAUCGAAACGAAACAAAUACAACACAACCUAAACCUUCCAACAUUUGCCUCAGGGAUUUCCAAUGCACAUGACAUGUUAAAGAUUAUCAUCCCCACAGAUUUGAGUCAUCUCUACACUUAAGCACAUACUUAAUCAUCGUCACUACUUACUUGUUCACGUUAAUCAAUUAAAACAAUGUUUUGAAUGUAGUAACAUGCCUUAGAGAGUUCGCUCAAGUCCUUACAAAGUAUGCACUCAAUUUUCACUCAGAUUUCCAACUACACACCCUAUACUAGUCAUAUGUGAGAAGAUUGAUGUAAACAUGAAAACGAACGCUCACAUAUAUGUAUUACAAAGAAAGCGAUUUCUGGAGCAUGUUUAGAUAUGAUCUCAUGAAUGGAAUGCUACUACUUAGAUGCGAGAACCAGUGACACCAUAUGCUCAUAUCAAUUUCAAACUCCACAUAUUUAAACGCAUGACACUCAAGAUGAAGUCAAAGGUUGUAACGGGCUUGGGGUGUUGGCUAACAAAUGAAGGUAAGGGAAAACAAACGUUCUUAAAGCAAUAGCAAAUAAAAUAAUGAACUUGAACUUAGAAUUCACUUAGAUUGCAGAAAUCAACUUUUAGACGUAAGGGAAAGAUUUAAACAACUCUUAGGGUCAAAUUCAACUUUUUUUUUUUAUAUAUAUAUUUUUUUUUCUUUCCACCCGUGCCUAUGGCACACUACUUACAUGAGAAACACUUCCCCCACACUUAUUUUCUGCCAUACAUAAUCACAAGGAAUUCAAUUUGAAUCAUGCUUUACUAUGCUUUAAGAACAAGGGUAUGGAUGGUCCUAAUCUAGGCUAGGUGAGGAUAACGUGGGUUAACAAAGAACGUAGGCUAACAAGGCUCAAUGGGGUUAACUUAAACAAAUAAUGAAGUAGGAUACACGGCAAUUUGGCUUUGGUGGUGGUAACUACACAACUUCAUCUUGAAUAUGUGUUAUGCAAAUCAAUAUCAUGCUUUGAAUGAAAUGGGCAUGAGUUCUAGCAUUUGGAACUAAAUGAUGAAACGCCUUCUAAGUAGUAACCAAGCAAAGAAAAAUGAGAUCAUGCAAUGACUUUAGAAAACAAUAAUGCACAGAUUAUCAACUCUCCAAAUAACGUUUAGGCUCAAGUCUCACAAGGUUGUAGCGUUUGUUUGAGUUCCUUUCUUCAAGCAUGUUACAAAAACUAAUUUUUCCUUUAUGAUUGCAUGUGAAUUCAUAAAUUAUAACUACAACCAAGUAUAAACCAAAGAGCAUAUCAAACUUUCAUCCAUGUUUAUAAUUCUCUUUAACAGUCAUGUAAUUAAAAACCAAAUCCUCAUCAUUGUGUUGGAAGGUACCCUAAAGACACAAAUAAGCACACAAAAACAACUCUUUUUGGGUUUUUCAAACAAUUUUUUCAAAUUUUUAUGAAAUUUUCGGAUUUUUAUGUCAAAACAUACUGAAACACUCCAAAACAGCUUAAAAACACUUAAACAGUAAGGAACAACACUAGAAGUAAUGGGUGAUAAUUUUCUACAAAUUUUCAUGCAAAACAAUAGUUACCAAUUCCCCCACACUUAAAUCGAACAUUGUCCUCAAUGUUUCAAGCAUAUACUCACACCAAAAACAAGCAAAUAACAAACGACAAAUAAACAU
rnacentral:lncRNA from 1 species